CGGGUGAGUAAUACAUCGGAACGUGUCUUCUAGUGGGGGAUAACUGCCCGAAAGGGCAGCUAAUACCGCAUGAGACCUGAGGGUGAAAGCGGGGGAUCGCAAGACCUCGCGCUGGAAGAGCGGCCGAUGUCCGAUUAGCUAGUUGGUGAGGUAAAGGCUCACCAAGGCGACGAUCGGUAGCUGGUCUGAGAGGACGACCGGCCACACUGGGACUGAGACACGGCCCAG
rnacentral:rRNA from 1 species